rnacentral:tRNA from 1 species
AAUAGAAAAGCAAAAUAUGCACUCAAUUUCGACCUGAUUUCUUGGCUCACAGCCUUCUAUUU